rnacentral:tRNA from 2 species
AGGGUGAUGAUGGAAUUGGUAGACAUGAAUGGUUUAGGUCUGUUUGAUAAUCGUAUCAUACCCGUUCAAGUCGGGUUCACCUUA